rnacentral:lncRNA from 13 species
CUCCAGCCUGGUAUCAAAAGUGAAACUCCGUCUCAAAAAAAAAAAAAAAAACCAUGGAGGAAGGAAGAGGACACAGUGUAACCUUAGAAAAGAUCUCAUUACACUAAGCAAAGGAAAAAAUAAAUGGAGUAAGCAUGUACGUGAGGGAGAACUUUACAAGCCGAAUCACGAGUCAUUGGAUACAUCGCAUACUAUCCUAGGCUGAAUCGCCCCUGCUGCAAAUUGAAACUGGUUUUAAAAAGAACUUUCUCAUCUAAAUCAGAGCCUCAGUCUCCUAGGUGAUGUAGUUUUAUGGUGUUAUCAGUUUAAAAAAUUUCCUCACAACAUGUAUGUUUAUAACAAUCUGAACAUCUGAAUGCCAG